AUUGAACGCUGGCGGCAGGCCUAACACAUGCAAGUCGAGCGGGGUUUUCGGACCUAGCGGCGGACGGGUGAGUAAUGCGUAGGAAGCUACCCGAUAGAGGGGGAUACCAGUUGGAAACGACUGUUAAUACCGCAUAAUGUCUACGGACCAAAGUGUGGGACCUUCGGGCCACAUGCUAUCGGAUGCGCCUACGUGGGAUUAGCUAGUUGGUGAGGUAAUGGCUCACCAAGGCGACGAUCCCUAGCUGGUUUGAGAGGAUGAUCAGCCACACUGGAACUGAGACACGGUCCAGACUCCUACGGGAGGCAGCAGUGGGGAAUAUUGGACAAUGGGCGCAAGCCUGAUCCAGCCAUGCCGCGUGUGUGAGGAAGGCCUUCGGGUUGUAAAGCACUUCCAGUAGGGAGGAAGCGUUGUGUGUUAAUAGUACACAGCGUUGACGUUACCUACAGAAGAAGCACCGGCUAACUCUGUGCCAGCAGCCGCCGUAAUAC
rnacentral:rRNA from 1 species